GGGGACGUUACGGAUUCGACAGGGAUGUCUUGGCUUGAGUCGCGCGUCGGAGGUCUCGGCUCCGUCACCAACGGAAGUUAUAUAAUAACUGGCAAAACUAACAACAACCUAGCUUUCGCAGCCUAGUCUGUCGAAACUGCCUAUCUGCCCUAUCGCCCAUGUAGCGUAGGUAGGCUCACUUAAAGUGGGAUACGGUUCACAGUGCCAUCUUAGCUGUGUACAAGAGAUUUCAAGAUUAGCGUACAAGACGCCUGUUUAUCGGCAUAAUGCUACGUGAAACCCUAAGUAGAUAAACUACACGCGUAGAAGCUUAAGUAUGGGAGUUUCUGGACGCGGGUUCGAUUCCCGCCGUCUCCA
rnacentral:tmRNA from 1 species